rnacentral:rRNA from 1 species
UGGGGAAUCUUGCACAAUGGGGGCAACCCUGAUGCAGCGACGCCGCGUGAGCGAUGAAGCCCUUCGGGGCGUAAAGCUCUUUCGACCGGAACGAUAAUGACGGUACCGGGAGAAGAAGCUGCGGCUAACUACGUGCCAACAGCCGCGGUAAUACGUAGGCAGCAAGCGUUGUUCGGAGUUACUGGGCGUAAAGAGUGCGUAGGCGGUUUUCUAAGUUCGGUGUGAAAUCUCCCGGCUUAACUGGGAGGGUGCGCCGAAGACUGGGAAGCUGGAGUGUGGGAAAGGCAGGCGGAAUUCCUGGUGUAGCGGUGAAAUGCGUAGAUAUCAGGAGGAACACCGGCGGUGUAGACGGCUUGCUAGACCAUAACUGACGCUGAGGCACGAAAGCGUGGGUAGCAAACA